rnacentral:tRNA from 1 species
GCUGAGGUGGCGGAAUUGGCAUACGCGCACGCUUGAGGUGCGUGUCCUUAAUCUGGAUGCGGGUUCAAGUCCCGCUCUCAGCA